GUAGGUGGCAAGCGUUGUCCGGGAAUUAUUGGGGCGUAAAGCGCGCGCAGGCGGUUCUUUAAGUCUGAUGUGAAAGCCCACGGGCUCAACCGUGGAGGGUCAUUGGAAACUGGAGAACUUGAGUACAGAAGAGGAAAGCGGAAUUCCACGUGUAGCGGUGAAAUGCGUAGAGAUGUGGAGGAACACCAGUGGCGAAGGCGGCUUUCUGGUCUGUAACUGACGCUGAGGCGCGAAAGCGUGGGGAGCAAACAGGAUUAGAUACCCUGGUAGCCACGCCGUAAACGAUGAGUGCUAAGUGUUAGGGGGUUUCCGCCCCUUAGUGCUGCAGCUAACGCAUUAAGCACUCCGCCUGGGGAGUACGGCCGCAAAGGCUGA
rnacentral:rRNA from 1 species